UCUCUCUCUAAAAACCUCUCUCUCUUCUUUGUAAAAACUCUCUAGUUUAAAAUAAUAAAGCUUUGGGUUGAAGAAUUUCUUUAAGUUUCUGAGCCCGGUAUCGUGUGAUUAUGCUUCUAUUUCAAAGGCUUGUUGAAGAACUAUUCAUAAGUAGCUGUUUUUCAUCCCAGUGGGCCCUAUUUGAGAGGCUAAAACCUGAGAUUUGUACUUAUUUCUUUCUUCCACACUUUAUGUAUUAGUGGUUUGCACACGUGAAAACUUUA